GACGAGGGCCCCGAGCGUUAUCCGGAAUUAUUGGGCGUAAAGGGUGUGUAGGCGGCCCUGUUAGUCUCCUGUGAAAUCUCCCGGCUUAACCGGGAAGACGCGGGGGAAACGGCAGGGCUUUGAGGGUGCGAGAGGUGUACGGAACUCACGGUGUAGGGGUGAAAUCCGUUGAUAUCGUGGGGAACGCCGAAAGCGAAGGCAGUACACUGGCGCAUUCCUGACGCUGAAACACGAAAGCGUGGGUAGCGAAUGGG
rnacentral:rRNA from 1 species